UGGGGAAUAUUGGACAAUGGGCGAAAGCCUGAUCCAGCCAUGCCGCGUGUGUGAAGAAGGCCUUUUGGUUGUAAAGCACUUUAAGUGGGGAGGAAAAGCUUAUGGUUAAUACCCAUAAGCCCUGACGUUACCCACAGAAUAAGCACCGGCUAACUCUGUGCCAGCAGCCGCGGUAAUACAGAGGGUGCAAGCGUUAAUCGGAAUUACUGGGCGUAAAGCGCGCGUAGGUGGUUAUUUAAGUCAGAUGUGAAAGCCCCGGGCUUAACCUGGGAACUGCAUCUGAUACUGGAUAACUAGAGUAGGUGAGAGGGGAGUAGAAUUCCAGGUGUAGCGGUGAAAUGCGUAGAGAUCUGGAGGAAUACCGAUGGCGAAGGCAGCUCCCUGGCAUCAUACUGACACUGAGGUGCGAAAGCGUGGGUAGCAAACAGGAUUAGAUACCCCGGUAGUCCACGCCGUAAACGAUGUCUACCAGUCGUUGGGUCUUUUAAAGACUUAGUGACGCAGUUAACGCAAUAAGUAGACCGCCUGGGGAGUACGGCCGCAAGGUUA
rnacentral:rRNA from 1 species